rnacentral:rRNA from 1 species
CCUACGGGAGGCAGCAGUGGGGAAUAUUGGACAAUGGGCGAAAGCCUGAUCCAGCAAUUCCGCGUGUGUGAAGAAGGCCUUCGGGUUGUAAAGCACUUUAGUGGGGGAAGAAACAGCUUGGCCACACCAAGCCUUGACGGUACCCCAAGAAUAAGCACCGGCUAACUCUGUGCCAGCAGCCGCGGUAAUACAGAGGGUGCAAGCGUUAAUCGGAUUUACUGGGCGUAAAGGGUGCGUAGGUGGCUAUUUAAGUCGGAUGUGAAAGCCCGGGGCUCAACCUCGGAAUUGCAUUCGAUACUGAGUGGCUAGAGUUCGGUAGAGGGCGGCGGAAUUUCCGGUGUAGCGGUGAAAUGCGUAGAUAUCGGAAGGAACAUCAAUGGCGAAGGCAGCCGCCUGGGCCUGGACUGACACUGAGGCACGAAAGCGUGGGUAGCAAACAGGAUUAGAUACCCUGGUAGUCCACGCCGUAAACGAUGAGAACUUGACGUUGGUUCGUUUUACGAAUCGGUGUCGCNGCUACGACGAUAAGUUCUCCGUCCGUCGGGAGGUACGGCCGGCGAGGUUAGUAACGUACAAUAGAAGUUAGACGGCGUGAGACGUCGCCGACGGACGACGACGAGGGAGGAGG